AAGUUGAAAAUUUUCAACUUUUAACAAUGAUAUUUUCGGAAAAUUUUCUUGAGUGGAAAUGGGCUAAAACACGCGAUUAAAAGUGGUUUAUACUUGAGUACAAUUUGCUGCGCUGAGAUCAACCUGAGUUUUCUUUAUUAUUUAAAUAUCUUUCCAAAGUUUUUUAUUUAUUUUGUCAGGAAAAAAUUAUGCGCGAAAAAGUGAAAGACGCCGAAGAACUGUCAGAAGCCGUGCUCGAAGAACUUACAAAACUUGGCUCCAAGUAACUCCGUGCGUUAAGAUCAGAAACAUUGUGCAGUAUUGAAGGACUAUUUUAUAGGAAAAACUGAAAUAUCCCAAUUGAGUUUUAUUACAACUCUAGAUUGUUAGAUAUUUAGUGGAAUCUGUUACGAUCUGUUGGCUAAAUUAGAUUUUAUGAGAUCUGGACAAAAUCCGGGGAGGAGCCCCUCAGCCAAACUCGAUCUUCUCCGCAAAAACGGACCGAAGAGAAAAUCCUGAGAAAAGAAACUGUUAACUAGUAAAAUCGUCUGGCGUUAGACAAGAGUAAAUAAAGAUAAUCUGUUAUUUGCCACAUUUAUACGCAGAAAAUUUAUCAGCCAAACCAUCUUUUCUUUGCCUAUGUUUUGUCAGAUGGAUCAUCCAUCUCUAUUAUUAAAUUUGGCCAACAUCAGUUGAAUUGAACGUGUAAAAUGCUUACAGAAACCUAGUCCAAGGAUAAUAUAAUAUUUUUAUUGAUAUUCUGUAAAAUAAUUUUUAAUUAAGUUCUUUGUACGUUUGUACGUAAUUUUUAAUUGUUUAGAAUAAUAAAACAGUCUACCUAAUAAAAAUGUACUUGGCCAAUUGUAACACAUAAUUUGUACCUCCGCGAGAGGUUAUAUGUUUUCGUUCGCACUUGUAUGUGUGUAUGUGCGCGUGCGGUCU